ensembl:ncRNA lncRNA:CR45288 long non-coding RNA:CR45288
GAUGUAAUGCCGCACAAAACGAAGAAAAUAUUAACCAGUUUAAGCAAUUAAAACAAUUAAGUGUUUUCACACUAUUUGCAGAGCAACAGCGGAGGGGCCACAAAAAGAUGUUAAGUAAAUAGCAUCAAAAAAAAAAAGAAAAAAAGGUGCCGAAAACAUUUUGCAGGACAAAGCGAGCGGCAAAUAAAAAUGUAAAUCAUAAAAAGCGUAAUGAAAAU